rnacentral:lncRNA from 1 species
GCAAGAAUUUUUUUUUAAUUGGAGUUAUCUUUCUUUGUCCAGAAUCAACUUAAAUCUUUGUUAUAUACAAUAUACAAUGUAUAUACACUUUUUACUACCAACUGAUAAAUUUAAAUAAUCUUUACCAUUCAGUGAUAACAAGCAGUUUUUUUACAUCUUAAUAUUUUAUGAUGUAUUUAAAUGAGUAGUUAUUGUUGCAAACUCCAUUAGAAAUUUGAAUUGAUAUCAGUUUUGAAAAAGGGAAACGGGGAUGUGAAAAAAAAGGGGGGGGGGUUAAAUUUUUCUCAUUUCAGAUUUCAUAAAUAAAAAGAAAAUUUCUUCAAACAUUUUUUUGAGAGGAUUAAUAUUCAACAGCAUAGUGAUUUGCUCAAAGGCAAAAAAAACCUUUUAAGUUCAUUAGACCACA